rnacentral:rRNA from 1 species
CAGCUUACACAUGCAGUCGAGCGGGGAAAGGUAGCUUGCUACCUUACCUAGCGGCGGACGGGUGAGUAAUGCUUAGGAAUCUGCCUAUUAGUGGGGGACAACAUUUCGAAAGGAAUGCUAAUACCGCAUACGCCCUACGGGGGAAAGCAGGGGACCUUCGGGCCUUGCGCUAAUAGAUGAGCCUAAGUCGGAUUAGCUAGUUGGUGGGGUAAAGGCCUACCAAGGCGACGAUCUGUAGCGGGUCUGAGAGGAUGAUCCGCCACACUGGGACUGAGACACGGCCCAGACUCCUACGGGAGGCAGCGGUGGGGAAUAUUGGACAAUGGGGGGAACCCUGAUCCAGCCAUGCCGCGUGUGUGAAGAAGGCCUUUUGGUUGUAAAGCACUUUAAGCGAGGAGGAGGCUCCCAGUAUUAAUACUACUGGAGAGUGGACGUUACUCGCAGAAUGAGCACCGGCUAACUCUGUGCCAGCAGCCGCGGUAAUACAGAGGGUGCAAGCGUUAAUCGGAUUUACUGGGCGUAAAGCGUGCGUAGGUGGCCAAUUAAGUCAAAUGUGAAAUCCCCGAGCUUAACUUGGGAAUUGCAUUCGAUACUGGUUGGCUAGAGUAUGGGAGAGGAUGGUAGAAUUCCAGGUGUAGCGGUGAAAUGCGUAGAGAUCUGGAGGAAUACCGAUGGCGAAGGCAGCCAUCUGGCCUAAUACUGACACUGAGGUACGAAAGCAUGGGGAGCAAACAGGAUUAGAUACCCUGGUAGUCCAUGCCGUAAACGAUGUCUACUAGCCGUUGGGGUCUUUGAGACUUUAGUGGCGCAGCUAACGCGAUAAGUAGACCGCCUGGGGAGUACGGUCGCAAGACUAAAACUCAAAUGAAUUGACGGGGGCCCGCACAAGCGGUGGAGCAUGUGGUUUAAUUCGAUGCAACGCGAGACCUUACCUGGUCUUG